AUGCCGCUUCCGCUUCCGGGGUCGGGCGGCGGCCGUUCCUUCAGUGUCUUCUCCCUCAUACCCUGAGGGAGUUUCGUAACCGCUGCCGCCCCUCUAAAAUCACACUUUAUAUACCGCGAUUGUGAUAAUUUAACCCCUGAGUGCGGAGUUGCAAAGGCGGUUCUAGGCUAACGCGGUCUUCAGUUAGCAACAUCAUUCAUAUAGAAGCAAUAUGACUCUUAGCCAGAUCAUAUCGCAUCGCACCUCCAUGCAGUACUUCAAACUCAGAGGAGCGUCCCACCAGCAUCGACUAGUUCACCGUGACAAGGGAAAUCCUCUCCCAGGCUGAGCUCCCACUCUGUGGAUCACACAGGUCAAGAUAGAAGGCUGGCAGCAUUGAACAUUUCUUCAUAAUUCAGAAGCAAGCAGCAGCGUGGUUCCACGAGUAGAAUCCUGUGCCCUCACCCCAGGAACAGCUUGCGCUUUGUUCUUCAACUAAGUCAAGCCUUUCUGGUUUUAACAGCUCACCAGUAAGCUGGUGCCGGGUCUUACUCAAAUAGUUCAGUGAUUUAGGUUUUCACAAGUUACCACACAGCUCUCCUUAAAUUCUUACCACCCAUUGUUGUGAGAAAGGCCAAAGAGUGUGACAGAAAAGCAAGAAACAAGCUUGUAACUUUUUAAUGGAACUGUGAGGAAGAGUUAUCAUCUUGCUUGGGGAAACUGGAAGUGCUUUAGGGAGAAAGAAUGAAAAACUAAGAAAGUAACAUUAAAGAUGUUCACUUGCUGGAGACAUCAUACCAAAGAUUUCUUUACAUAAAAGGAAGACUAGCAGGCACUGAAUUUUAGUGGUAUGCAUGAUAGGUAUUUAUUUCUUUUUGUAAAUCUAUAACAAAACAGCUUAAAAUAGACAUCUGUAGGUGAAACCUUUUUCAUAUUUUAAAUGCAAAAUUAUUCCAAUAAAAAGAUAUUAUUUACAUUUAAUUUCACAUGCUAGAAAGGCUGAGUGGCUACAAAAAUAAGUGCUAUAAUGUAAACACCUUCUACUAACUCCAUGCUAAAUCCAAACUGAUUUUAUAGAGCUAUUAGAAUUACACGAACGCUAUUCACUUGAUUAUAGUUACAGAUACUUUGAGAAUGCAAAAAAUACCCAAACCCGGAGUAAAACCAGUCAGGGUUCACCCACUACCGACAAGUGCACUUGGUAGCUAUCAUAUCUUCAUACUCCUU